AGUGGCGGACGGGUGAGUAACGCGUGAGAAUCUGCCUUGGGGUCGGGGACAACCACUGGAAACGGUGGCUAAUACCGGAUAAGCCGAUUGGUGAAAGAUUUAUUGCCCGAAGAGGAGCUCGCGUCUGAUUAGCUAGUUGGUGAGGUAAGAGCUCACCAAGGCAGCGAUCAGUAGCUGGUCUGAGAGGACGAUCAGCCACACUGGGACUGAGACACGGCCCAGACUCCUACGGGAGGCAGCAGUGGGGAAUUUUCCGCAAUGGGCGAAAGUCUGACGGAGCAAGACCGCGUGAGGGAGGAAGGCUCUUGGGUUGUAAACCUCUUUUCUCAGGGAAGAAGCUCUGACGGUACCUGAGGAAUCAGCCUCGGCUAACUCCGUGCCAGCAGCCGCGGUAAUACGGAGGAGGCAAGCGUUAUCCGGAAUUAUUGGGCGUAAAGCGUCCGCAGGUGGCGAUUCAAGUCUGCUGUCAAAGCACGGGGCUUAACUCCGUAAAGGCAGUGGAAACUGAAUAGCUAGAGUGCCGUAGGGGUAGAGGGAAUUCCCGGUGUAGCGGUGAAAUGCGUAGAGAUCGGGAAGAACAUCGGUGGCGAAAGCGCUCUACUGGACGGCAACUGACACUCAGGGACGAAAGCUAGGGGAGCGAAUGGGAUUAGAUACCCC
rnacentral:rRNA from 1 species